UCCUCAUCGACUGAUUUAUCCAUUCUGAUGUACAAACAUACGCCUCUUCUUGAGUCAGGGUUGGACCUAGUGACUUAAUUCUAACAAAUUGAAUGUGGGGAGGUGACAGUGUCACUUUCAAGAUCAGGUUACCAAAAAUAAAUGUAGUUUCUGUCUUGGUUUCUCUCUUUUGCUUUCUCUUGGAUCACACUGUGGGAAAAACCACUUGCCAUAUCAUAAAACAGUCUCAUGGAAAGGCUCCUGUGGCAGGGGACUGAGGCCUGCCAGUAGCCACUUGAGAGAGCUUGUCAGGGGGCCCUCCUGUAGUCAGAUCUCUGGAUGACUGAAGCAGUAUGGACAUCUUGAUCACAGCCUUACAAAAGACCUCAAGCCAAGAGGAGCCAGACAAACCAUGCCAGAUUCCUGAUUCCAGAAACUAAUGAAGCUGUCUGUGAGGAAGUUCCUCAGCUCUUCAUAAAAUAGAUUCCUGGGAAGGCAUAGGGAGAAUCACCUAAAUCACAUCAAAGGCAACUACUUAUCCUCAAACUGGUCUGCAAAGGUGACUACCUGAGCUCAGAGUGGUUCCCUAAAACACCAAUCCAUUCCUGCAGAACCUCUCUCAGACACCCCUUCCUGUGGAAGAAGCAAACUUUCCAGGAAGAGCACAACCACAGCUUGAAGAAAUGCCUACAUAAUGUGCAAGGUAUUCAGCUCAAAAAGAGGAGGCAAUGUUAGCAGACUGCCUCAACAAUUCAGGGACCUAAUUUAAAUGUGAAGGAACAGUUUGAGGUUCAAAUAUAUAAAGGGAGAAAGACAAACUGGGAAAGAUAUUUUAAAACUUUUCCAGGAAAACACUGUUUUUUGUUUUGUAUUAUUUUUUUCCAAUUACAGUUUCUGAGCAGAGAGUGUAUGUAUAGGAUGGAUUUACUCUCAAGGUGUGGGAAUGAUGGGAGUCAUCAUUCAUCCCUUGAUGGGAGAGUUUUCUUAGCUGAGCUUUAUGAUCAUAACCAGUAAACUCUGAUCAAAAGACAUUGAUUUUCUCUUUUCUGAUUUUUCUCUUCUUUCCCAUUUCUUUAUAUAUAACACUAAUUCUGUGCUGGGACUAUGACUAAAUUCAAGUUGUACUAAAUGAUGUAUUGGUAUUAUGUAUAGCAUAGCAAAGCAUGUUCACUUGAGCUCUGGGCAUAGCAUGUUUACUGGAUAAAUAUUACUUAGGGAAUUGGUAGUUAAAUUUUCAAUAGAUGCCAUGGGAUCUUUGUUAUGAGGAUCUGACUGUGGUUUCAAAAUGUUGGGCAAAUAGGAAAGGUUCUGUGGAUCUUCUGUGGCUCUGGAAUACAAGGGGUAUCUGAGAGCUGAAAAGAUGCUGAAGGAAC